UCUCCGUUGGUGAACCAGCGGAGGGAUUAUUACCGAGUAUACAACUCCCAAACCCUAUGUGAACCUUUCCACCCUGUUGCCUCGCCGGGGGCCCCCCCCGGGGUCGUCGCAGGCCCUGAAAGAGGCUCCGUCCGGACCGACCGACCAAACUCUGUGUUUUAUGCCCUCUGUUAAGUUUUUUCUUACCGCUCUCAUCAAAUAUUCAAAAGAAAUCAAAACUAUCAGCAACGGAGCGCUUAGUUCUGACAUCGAUGCAGAACGCAGCAAAUCGGAAGACCC
rnacentral:misc_RNA from 1 species